GACGAACGCUGGCGGCGUGCUUAACACAUGCAAGUCGAACGGAAAGGCCCUUCGGGGUACUCGAGUGGCGAACGGGUGAGUAACACGUGGGUGAUCUGCCCUGCACUUUGGGAUAAGCCUGGGAAACUGGGUCUAAUACCGAAUAGGACCACGCGCUUCAUGGUGCGUGGUGGAAAGCUUUUGCGGUGUGGGAUGGGCCCGCGGCCUAUCAGCUUGUUGGUGGGGUAAUGGCCUACCAAGGCGACGACGGGUAGCCGGCCUGAGAGGGUGACCGGCCACACUGGGACUGAGAUACGGCCCAGACUCCUACGGGAGGCAGCAGUGGGGAAUAUUGCACAAUGGGCGCAAGCCUGAUGCAGCGACGCCGCGUGAGGGAUGACGGCCUUCGGGUUGUAAACCUCUUUCAAUAGGGACGAAGCGCAAGUGACGGUACCUAUAGAAGAAGCACCGGCCAACUACGUG
rnacentral:rRNA from 1 species